rnacentral:rRNA from 1 species
CCUACGGGUGGCAGCAGUGAGGAAUAUUGGUCAAUGGGCGGAAGCCUGAACCAGCCAAGUAGCGUGCGGGAUGAAGGCCCUACGGGUCGUAAACCGCUUUUGCACGGGGAUAACACCCUCCAAUUGUGGAGGUCUACAGGUACCGUGCGAAUAAGGGCCGGCUAAUUCCGUGCCAGCCGCCGCGGUAAUACGGAAGGCAAGGGCGGUAUCCGGUUUCAUUGGGCUUAAAGGGAGCGUAGGCUGGCGUUCAAGUCAGCUGUAAAAUCGCGCGGCGCAACCGCGCCCCGCAGGUGAAACUGGACGCCUUGAGUUCACAACAGGCAGGCGGAAUUCGUGGUGUAGCGGUGAAAUGCAGAGAUAUCACGAGGAACCCCGAUUGCGAAGGCAGCCUGCCGGGGUGCGACUGACGCUGAGGCUCGAAGGUGCGGGUAUCAAACAGGAUUAGAUACCCGAGUAGUC